rnacentral:rRNA from 1 species
ACGGGUGAGUAACGCGUGGGAACGUACCCUUCAGUUCGGAAUAACCCAGGGAAACUUGGGCUAAUACCGGAUACGUGCGAGAGCAGAAAGAUUUAUCGCUGAAGGAUCGGCCCGCGUCCGAUUAGCUAGUUGGUGAGGUAAUGGCUCACCAAGGCGACGAUCGGUAGCUGGUCUGAGAGGAUGAUCAGCCACACUGGGACUGAGACACGGCCCAGACUCCUACGGGAGGCAGCAGUGGGGAAUAUUGGACAAUGGGCGCAAGCCUGAUCCAGCCAUGCCGCGUGAGUGAUGAAGGCCCUAGGGUUGUAAAGCUCUUUCGCCAGGGACGAUAAUGACGGUACCUGGAUAAGAAGCCCCGGCUAACUUCGUGCCAGCAGCCGCGGUAAUACGAAGGGGGCUAGCGUUGUUCGGAAUCACUGGGCGUAAAGCGCACGUAGGCGGAUCUUUAAGUCAGGGGUGAAAUCCCGAGGCUCAACCUCGGAACUGCCUUUGAUACUGGAGGUCUCGAGUCCGGGAGAGGUGAGUGGAACUGCGAGU